CUCAAGUCCUCUCAUACUCUGCUGCACGGAUUAGACGGCGCUAAGUUUCUCUCAGCGUUCAAAGAGCCCAAACUGAAACACUGAAGCAUGAAAAACAAGAGGCUGCUAAUGUCUCUGCCUCUACUACCUACAAUUACUGAGACACUAGAGGACCUGCCUGUCCAUCCCUCCUCCUUGCAACAAUCCCAGGGAUCCCACUCUCUGGACGACUACAUGUCAAGCAUCCAAGCUCUUGCGCGGCCUGUCGAGGGCACGAGUUACGGCCCCGUCAGACUCCAGAGGUCCCCCCGGCAGCAUCAGCGCUCAAAAACUGCCCGUGUGUCUUCACGCACACCAAGGACUUCCAGAGUAGCCAGUCUGCCCUCGCACAGCACAGAGGAGUUUUCCCUCAGGAUGAGCAGAGAACGAGACAGCAGGGGCAAAGACCCCAUGGACUGGCUUUUUGGACAAAUAAGGACUUGAAGAGAGAUGCUGUUAUUGUCGGACAUCAUGUGGGUACUUUGCUGGAGUGAGGAAAUAAGUUCGGAGGAACCUCAGGAUGAACUGCUCCGCCAUGGCUCAUGAUAAUAGUGCAAAUGUAACUUAUAUAUUUAUAUUUUUAUUUAGUAAAGACUCUUUGUGGUCUAAGUGUUUACAGAGUUUAAUAUUUUGUUAAGAUGUAAGACGUGGUUUCUAAUAAAAUGCUGAAA